rnacentral:pre_miRNA from 1 species
AUGUGACUUGUGGGCUUCCCUUUGUCAUCCUUUGCCUGGGGCUCUGAGUGGGGCAGGGACAGCAAAGGGGUGCUCAGUUGUCACCUCC